rnacentral:tRNA from 1 species
GAUUAUUUAGUUUAUUUAAAACAAAUGUUUUGAAAACAUUAAAAAAGAGAAAAUCAUCUUAAUAAUCG